AGUCACUAAACAACUAAGAUAUAUCUUUAAGAUAUGAAUAAUUUUAUUAUUGAUUCUCGUGAUAAACCUCUUAUCUAUAAAAAACGAUCCGGUUCUCCAAUUAUGGAAUCUCCGAAAAUGCGAAAGCGGCUUAAACGCAAAAACGAUUCAAAUAUUGAUGCAUUACAUGGCAUUCCAACUAAGAAAGUAAAAUAUGAAUAGUUUACAGAACACUGGCACGCGAAUUCAUAUAUAUGAGAACAACAUCUCUCUGAAUUGGAUUGCUAGUGUGGAAUUUUGAUUAAAUGAAUACUCGCCAUGUUCAUGUAGUGAGUGCAUAAAAGCAUUGAUUAUGAUGUGAUGGCGCCUAAAUGGGAUUAUUUGUACACUCAAAUUAAAAAAAAUGGAUGCAUUCCGUGCAGUUCGCCAAAAGUUUAUAAUUGUAUUGUUACUCUCAAUUUAUGCGUUUAAUAUUUUAUUAUUUUUAUUUUUGUACGAUUGACAGACGAUUGUUGU
ensembl:ncRNA lncRNA:CR44963 long non-coding RNA:CR44963